GGGAGUGAAAUAGAACCUGAAACCCUGCACUUACAAGCUGUGGAAGCACAUUUCUUGUGUGACCGCGUACUUUUUGUAGAACGGGCCAACGAGUUACGUUAAGUAGCAAGGUUAAGCACUUAAGGUGUGGAGCCGUAGCGAAAGCGAGUUUUAACUGAGCGUUCAGUUACUUGACGUAGACCCGAAACCGGGCGACCUACCCAUGAGCAGGCUGAAGCGAAAGUAAAAUUUCGUGGAGGUCCGAACCCACGAGCGUUGAAAAGCUCGGGGAUGACUUGUGGGUAGCGGUGAAAUUCCAAUCGAGCCCGGAGAUAGCUGGUUCUCCCCGAAAUAGCUUUAGGGCUAGCCUCAAGGUGAGAGAUACGGAGGUAGAGCACUGAAUGUCCUAGGGGGUAUUGCACCUACCGAAGACUAUCAAACUCCGAAUGCCGUCAUCUUAUACUUGGGAGUCAGACUGUGGGUGAUAAGAUUCAUAGUCGAAAGGGCAACAGCCCAGAUCGUCAGCUAAGGUCCCUAAAUGUAAGUUAAGUGGUAAAGGAUGUGGGAUUGCACAGACAACCAGGAUGUUGGCUUAGAAGCAGCCACUCAUUCAAAGAGUGCGUAAUAGCUCACUGGUCGAGUGAUCCUGCGCCGAAGAUUUCCGGGGCUAAAACUUACUACCGAAGCUACGGCAUCAGUAAUGAUGGGUAGGGGAGCUUCCCAUACGGGUUGAAGCAUGACCGUAAGGACAUGUGGACAGUAUGGGAGUGAGAAUGUUGGCAUGAGUAGCGAGAUGUGGGUGAGAAUCCCACAGGCCGUAAACCCAAGGU
rnacentral:rRNA from 1 species